rnacentral:misc_RNA from 1 species
GUGAAUCAUCAAAUCUUUGAACGCAAAUUGCACUCUCUUCGGAGAGUAUGCCUGUUUGAGGGUCAGUAUCAAUAAAAAUCGGUGUGUUGCUUCUUUGUGACGCUCCGGAGUUUGGGGCAUCUUAAUAUCCUUUAGGUUUUAAGCGGCUUAAAAUGGAAUUUUUUUGCUCAUUAUAGAUGGACAAAAAUUGUUUUUUUUAUUCUUGUGUCUUAUGUCUCUAAAUGCUAUUAUAUGCGACAAUA